GACAGAGGGUGCAAACGUUGUUCGGAAUUACUGGGCGUAAAGCGCGUGUAGGCGGCUAAGUAAGUCGGGCGUGAAAUCCCACGGCUCAACCGUGGAAGUGCACUCGAAACUGCAUAGCUAGAGUCCUGGAGAGGAAGGUGGAAUGCUUGGUGUAGAGGUGAAAUUCGUAGAUAUCAAGCGGAACACCGGUGGCGAAGGCGGCCUGCUGGGCUAUGGCUGACACUGAGGCGCGACAGCGUGGGGAGCAAACAGG
rnacentral:rRNA from 1 species